UUUAAAGACUUAAGUGUCUAUUUCAAUAAGUUUAUUUGAAAUAUUUUAACUUAUUAAGUCAUUAAAUACGCUAAGAUUCAAGCUUAAAUAUGAAAAAUCUAUCAAAUAUGCCAUAAUACGUCACUUUUCAGAUGGUUUUUGUCAAAAAUUAAAGUGGACGCAUCCAUGUUCAUCCUCAACCUUUAUAUAUGUUAUGUAUUAUCAUCAAAUACAACUUACAUUUCAAUAUUAUGAAUGAACACGAAUGCGGCCACUUUCCUUUAAGAAAAAACCGUCUACAAUUUAACUAAAAUGCUAAAAUUGUCAAGAUUUCAGUAAUUUCGCAUGACUUAAUUAUGCUAGUAUGCGAUAUAUGUGAAUUGUAUUGUCAAAAACAGCCCAUAUUUUAUGUAUCAGAAGCAUAUUCUUCUUUCCAGUAAACAUAUAAAAGAUUACAUUUUUACAAUUUUGUGAAACUGCUAUAUUGUAGGGCCAAAAAGGGGUCUUACUGAACCCGCUCCUUUGAAAUUGAGAGAGCAAUUGUUUUAAAAUUAAAAAUCUAAAUGUCAAAAGUCAUGAUAGCCAAAUAGAAAAGAAUAAUUAGAAUUUAUUUACUAUUCAAACCCUGUUUUAGACAAGGAGGCAUUUCUAGUUUGUCUAAGCAUUGUUUGAAUAUGAUUUGUUUCUUAAGAAAUCUUCACUUUAUGCAGGCCAAUUAAUUCAAUGAAUGUUAAGAGAUUUAUUGACAAAUUGUUAGUCAGUUUGGGGUGGUAUUACGCUCUACAUAACAACUUAAUAACAAAAAUCUAUUUUACACAGCUUUUAAAGUUUUGCUGGACAAAAAAUGGGUUAUUUCAUACAUAUUGGUGAAAAUUAUCUCUUGUUAAAAAAAUAAUUGUACUCAAAAACUCCUGUAAUGUCAAAAUCUUCUCUUGACAAUAUUCAACCAUAUUGAUUAUUCAACAUGCAUUUACUUAUUUUUAAUCUAAAGAUUUCACUUUUCUUCUUGAUUAUGAUUUAAAUAUUGUUUAAUAUUAUUAUGCAAAUACUUACUAGGUUAUUGAUUUAUUUGUUACUUUUUUCUUACAUCUCGUGCAAUACAUUGUUUGUACUAACUAUUCUAAUGCAUAUAAUCUGCAAUAAAUUAUUUUUCAUGUGUACUCUGUUGGUGUAUAUGCUGUGAAGUACAACUUUGGAAAAAAGAAAAUCAUAGAAUCUAGCUUAAGAGUUACUGAAAUAAAACAGAACACACACAAUUGUAAAAGAUGUUUAAACAAUUUUGUUUUGGUUUUUUGUUUAUCAAAGUUAUAUUCCCAUUAAUUACACCAGAAAAUGAGAGUGUCAGGUACAUUACAAUAACACUACAAGAAGCAGACAACCCUAUUAUGAGAUACAGUUGCAUUUUGCACAUUACUGAAAAAAGUUUUAUCUCAAUCUUUGAGGUACAUGUUUUAUACAAGUACAAAAAUAUCUCAUUAAGAAAAUAAAGAGAUUUGGUUUGAUAGCCAAUGAAACAACAAUACACC
rnacentral:lncRNA from 1 species